rnacentral:rRNA from 1 species
CCUACGAGUGGCUGCAGUGAGGAAUAUUGGUCAAUGGGCGCGAGCCUGAACCAGCCAAGUCGCGUGAAGGAUGACUGCCCUACGGGUUGUAAACUUCUUUUAUACAGGAAUAAAGUGAGGCACGUGUUCCUUUUUGUAUGUACUUUAUGAAUAAGGAUCGGCUAACUCCGUGCCAGCAGCCCCGGUAAUACGGAGGAUCCGAGCGUUAUCCGGAUUUCUUGGGUUUAAAGGGAGCGUAGAUGGGUUGUUAAGUCAGUGGUGAAAGUUUGCGGCUCAACCGUAAAAUUGCAAUUGAUACUGGCAGUCUUGAGUACAGUGGAGGUAGGCGGAAUGCGUGGUGUAGCGGUGAAAUGCUUAGAUAUCACGAAGAACUCCGAUUGCGAAGGCAGCUUACUAAACUGCCACUGACAUUGAGGCUCGAAAGUGUGGGUAUCAAACAGGAUUAGAUACCCCUGUAGUC